rnacentral:rRNA from 1 species
UACGGAGGUGGCAAGCGUUACUCGGAUUCAUUGGGUGUAAAGGGCAAGUAGGCGGUCUAUUAAGUGAGGGGUGAAAUCUUCCGACUCAAUCGGGAAACUGCCUUUCAAACUGAUAGACUUGAGGUCGGAAGAGGUAAAUGGAAUUCUCAGUGUAAGGGUGAAAUCUGUAGAUAUUGAGAAGAACACCAGCGGCGAAGGCGACUCUUUGGCCUGUAACUGACACUGAGGCGCGAAAGCGUGGGGAGCAAACAGG